CCUGUUACCCGCGUUCGGACUAGGUCGUUACGGCGCACACACUUCUUCCGGAAGCCCAACAUUUCGUGAAAACAGGCCUUUCUUUUGCAGCACCAAUUAUUUUGCUUUUUUCUACUGCCAUGGCCUUCUUAUUCGUGGCCGAUUGAUGCACGGUCGUCGGCGCCAUUAUGCAUCCCACGUUCGCAAUUAGCCUUAAUGACCCGCAUUUCGCACGCGUCCGCCAGGCGAUUCUGUCUACACUUUAGGGGCCCGAAUUGGACCCUUGACGUAAACACUGACCGCCCGAUCUUAAUCCGGUCUCCCCCCAUCUUAAGGUGCACAUCGUCACUUUACGCAUCUCUCUCCCUCCUUAUGGCUACCGCUUCCGUCGGGGGACCCGGUUAUGACUGCGAGUACGUGCUUUCGCACCCCUCGUUAGUCCUAAUCUAUGGGACCACAGGUGCGG
rnacentral:rRNA from 1 species